rnacentral:lncRNA from 1 species
UUCUCAAUUCGUCAUAAUGCAUGGUGUACCGUGGAGCUUUAUCAUUAGAGAUAUCCACAAGAUCACCUUUACUCCACAUUAGGAAUCUAACAACAUGGACGUGUUCCACUGUCUUUAGCAUCGACACAUAAUCAGAUAGACAUCAAGUUAUUCAUAGCAUCAAGGAACACAUUCAAAUCAGAAAUGCACCCCUGUCUAUCUCAAGAGUAAAGAUAGCCACCAACAAAGCGCACCACUAGAGCACAUUACUAUAAACAAAUGAUUUUCCCCCAUUACUAUUAGCACACUUCCCGAAUUUGGUAUCAAUGUGCUUUUGUAGGUACAUCUUUUCAUUUGCUAACAAAAGUGGCUUAUUACCAAUCACGAAGGAUUCAACAAUUGACGUUAAACCUUGUGUCUUUAAACAUGAUUCAUAUAUGUAAUAUAUUGUGACAUAUUUUAACAAUUUACACCUUGCCACAAUGACAUGCUAUAUUUUGACCCCCUUAAAAGUUAAAAGUGGCAUUUUUAUAUUUUCUUGUGCAAGAUAUGAGUGAAAGUCUCAAAAUGCAAACAUUUUUAUAUUUUACUGUACAAAAAUAUAAAAUGGAUAUAUUUUACUAUUCUAGGGUUCGAAGAAAACUGCGUUUGUCGAAUAAUCUGUAUGAAGUUAUUUAAUGAAACAUUUUUGUAUAAAAUAGAAAUUACGCUCAAUAGAUACAAUUUUAUUGUACGCAAUUUAGAGUUGUGUCUAAUAGAUACUUUCUUUUUUGAAAGGAUGUCUAAUAGAUACUUAGUUAAUUUUGUUUUAUCAUGAAUUUGAGUGGUGUUGUACCCACACAAAAAUGUAUUAAUUGGUUUAAUAUGUAAUUUAAAUGAUUGUAAUUGUAUCCGAUAAAUGUAUUUAUGCUUAUAAUUGUAUGCAUAUUGAGUAAAAAAAAACUUUAUACAUAUUAUAAUUACAUUGUCAUCAUUUAGUAAUAAUGAUUUUACAUAACCACAUUACAUUUAUUUGUUGCAGUUCAUUUAUAAUUAUACAAGCAGUGACAUUUCAUUCUCCGUAUAUCUUGUACCAACAAACCACUAAUAACAACACUUGCAUAAUAUAGGCAAUAUGCGUAGCCGUCUGUCAAAUAGAUUAAAGGUUAGUGGGUGAGAAUUGAAUUAUGCAAGAAAUCAUAAGAGUAACAACAUGUUGAAAUAUAAUUAUGGAUCUAGAAGUAAUUAAAUUAUUUGUCAACUUAACUGUUUAAUAACAAAAACAAACAUUCAAAAUGCACAUUGCCAUUUGAUCGUCAGCACAAAUUUCUAGACAGUCUUCAUCCUUUUCACAUUUGUGAAAAGCUAUAAUAUAAACCAUAAAAUAAAUAAUGUCAAUUCAAAGUGAUGAAAUGUUUCCUUAAAAAAAAGGGAUGAACGUUGUUUAUAAAAUUAAAAAUAAUGUGAUAAAAACGACUAACGGAAAUCUUCGGCUAUAACAUGAAGUAGGAAAAGAUAUAGGAUCAUAGUAUAAACAAACUUGAGAACCGCAUCCAUGUUUAUUAUUCUUUGCUUGUACCUAAAAGAAAUUUGAUCGAUCACUUUCUAAUUUUUAGCAUAUAUAUAUU